CCCUUAGAUGUUCUGGGCGGCCCGCGCACUACAAUGGCGCGUUCAUCGAGAACCAAGGUUGAAUUAUUCGAGGUAUUCUUGCAAAACGCGUCUUGAUUGGGAUAGAUCCUUGUAAUUGUUGGUCUUGAACGAGGAAUUCCUUGUAAGCGUGGUUUAUCAUCCCACGUUGAAUGCGUCCCUGCCCUUUGUACACACCGCCCGUCGCUACUACCGAUUGAAUGAUUUAGUGAGGACUUCGGACUGGGACCGAUGCGGCUUUCGGGCUGCGUCGGUAUUCUGGAAAGAUGUCCAAACUGUAUCAUUUAGAGGAAGUAAAAGUCGUAACA
rnacentral:rRNA from 1 species